GAACCAAGAAGAGCUGAUGUCCUGGUUUGAAGGUCGUUCGGCAAGAGAAUUCUCUUACUCCGGGUGGGCCAGCCUUUUGUUCUAUUUAGAACUUCAACUGAUUGGAUGAGGCCCACUCACAUUAUGGAGGGCAAUCUGCUUUACUUAGUCCACCAAUUUAAAUUUUUUUGUUUGUUUGUUUGUGAGGGAGAUCAGCCCUGAGCUAACAUCCAUGCUAAUCCUCCUCUCCUUGCUGAGGAAGACCGGUUCUGAGCUAACAUCUAUUGCCAAUCCUCCUCAUUUUUUUUUUUCCUUCCCCAAAGCCCCAGUAGACAGUUGUAAGUCAUAGUUGCACAUCCUUCCAGUUGCUGUAUGUGGGAUGCGGCCUCAGCAUGGCUGGAGAAGCAGUGCGUCGGUGCACACCCAGGAUCCGAACCCGGGCUGCCAGCAGUGGAUCGCGCUCACUUAACCGCUAAGCCACCGGGCCGGGCCCUAAAUUUUAAUCUCAUUCAAAAUCACCCUCACGGAUACACCCAGAAUAAUGUAUGACCAAAUAUGUGGGCACCCCAUGGCCCAGUCAAGUUGACACAUAAAAUUUGUAAGUGCAAUGGUCAUCCAACUUAUUUGAAAGCAGCAGAUGAUUUAAUUCCAUGUUGAACCUCUGUCCACAGUGAUUCAUACAGUAUUUUCUUUUACGUUUACUUGAAUGAAUUCAAUCUCUUCUUGUUCUAUACUUGCCCUUAGCUUGGGUCAGAACUUCCCUGGCUCUCAUCCCAUCACGUAUUUACCUCUUUCUUGCAUGUAUUAAAUUCUAUCGUGUCAUUUUAAAACAGUGGUCCCUCUGUGAGGGACGUGUGGUGGUGGUUAGUAGAUGGAGGGAUAGAGGCAACAGGAGGGUUGUCAGACACCACCUUGGUUUCAACUAUGAUAGCUCUGUUUUUUUCUGUUUUAUUUGUUUUUCUUCCCAGUAAGCUUUUAUGUGAGGGCAGAUUAGUUGGCUAAAAUAUAUUUGAAAAUCACCGCAUAUUUUCCUUAAUGAGUCCAUGAUUUUGCAUCAGGUGAUCCAUGAACCUGCUGAAACUGUUUGUAAUAAUUCCUUUCUUCAUACAGACAUAUUUUUCUGAGGAGAGGGCACACAAAUUUCUCAUUUAUUUAGAGAGAUCUAUAACUCACAGCAAAUCAUCUUUGGUCAAAUGUUAUGCAUGACAUCUUACAUUUUCAAAAGGAGAUAUGAUUUAGAAUUACAUUCAAGGAUUUUGAAAGUAUCGAUAUUUAGGAAGUCAUCCCCUGUGUUUCUGUUGGAUCCCUAACAAAAUGAUACAGAAAUGAUGCAAGGAUUCAUCAGCACCAGAAAACAGAAGAGAAAAAAAUGGUUCUUCAAUCCACAUUUAGUUGUGGACAUUCCUGCCUUCUUGGUGUGGUGGCGUACUUGACAUGUGGAGACUGAGAUAUCUUCCUGCUCGGCAGCUUUCUCUGAAACUUGGCUAAAGAGAAAAAUCAGUGAGUCAGAUCAAGUUUAAACAGAAAAACUGUCAGUUUUCUCUUGUUGCAUAGCAAACAUUCUCAACACUUAGUGGCUUAAAAUAACAGCAUUUAUUUUUUUCUCACGAUCCUUUUGGUUGACCGGGUGGUGUAUUACUCCAUGUAGUGUCAGCUGCUUGAAGCUGGGAGCUUGGCCAGAUCACCUCGGUUCUCCACGUGGUGUCUUAUCCUCCAUAAGAUUUUCGUGUGUCUUCUCUCCUAGGAGAAUAGCCUGGAAUUCCUCAUAGCAUGGAGACUGGGUUCCAGGAAGACAAUCCCAGUGUACAAAUGCUUAUCAACCCUCGGCUCGCAUCAUGGCUGCUGACGCGGGGCCAAAGCCAGUCUCAUGUCCGAGCUCAAAAUUAAUAUGGGAGAGAACUCCACAGGCCCCAGUACCGGGAGUGGACUCCUUGUGAACCACCGGUGUAAAGUCUAACACAGAAAAGACUUGAGAAAGUUCUUUGCACCAAACAGGCUGGUAGCUCAUGAUCACGUCUUGUGUCCUGAGGUGUGCAUCUGCUUCACAGAAUCUAUGAAUCCACUCAAGUUAUAUGCAAAGGCUGCGUGAAUAGACAUUUUUUUCGGAUGCAGCUUACAAAGAGAAGUCUGUGGUUCUUCCUUCCAUAUCCCAUCCCUCCGGCUGUAUGCAUAAGGAGGCAAUACCAGGUAGGUCAAUCUGCCUGUGGUACCUGGGAUGAUUGAUGGGUGAAUGAAAUAAAACUGAAGCCAGGGAGACUGAUUUAGAGGUAAUUCAAUAGCCAAAGAAUGGACUGCAAAGGAGCUAGACCAAGGCAGUGGCAAUGGGAAUAAAAAUAAAGGAAUGAAUUGAGAAAUAUUUUAAAAAGUUGACUGAGUGUAUAUAGGUGGUAUAGGCAAGAGAAAGAGAUAAAUGAAAUAAGAUUCAAGAAUUUUAGUUUGUGUCAUUAAAUGAAAAACAGUGAAACUGCUAGAAAUAAUAAAUCCAAAGGGGCAGAUGAUAAGUAGAGAAAGACCAAGGCUUUGAUUCUAAAAAAUAUGAAGGUUAUGGUAGAGACUUCCAGUUGCAGGGGUUCAUUGGCAUUUGGGGCUAUGCAGAGGAAUGGGUAGAUUAAUGUAGUGGCCAGGGGAUCAUCUAGUUGGAUGGAGAAAGAUAUAGGGCAGGAAAAUUGAAGUUUCUCUCUCAAGUUCCUGUUGUUGAGAUUGAUAUAAAUAAGUGAGUUUUGAGUUAAAUAUCCUAUAUUCAAGAACUACUUUGUGAUAACUACUAUUACAUUGUGGUAAAUGUCUGGGAAUUUAGUGAGGUGAUCAAGGUUUAGUAGUUCAUACAUACAUAAAUGUACAUAUACAAAUAACCACAUAGAUUCAAUGAUGAACCUUUCGUCUUAGUUUUCUAUGAUUUAUUUUGGUACCUACUUAUAUCCCUGGACAAGAGUGAUAUAAUUGCAGGUAUGAGGCGAAGGUUUAUCUUACCUAGGAGGCAAAGUUUAUGCCCAUCCCAGAGUUUAGACUGAGCACUUCCCCUUUCUGAGCUCCUCAAGCUUGCCUAAUAAAAAUGGAUCCACAACAGAAGAAAAAACGCAGCUCCAUAAUGCUUCUUUUACUUUUCUUGCGAGUGAAGCAAAUGGAAUUGUCUAGGUAGAGACUAAGUUCUUAGAGAGAUUGGGAGGACCUGGAGGGGAAGAGAUAGGGAAAUGAGUAUUUUUACAUUAAUUUCUCCAUAGUGGGAGGGGAACAUACCCAAGAAUAGAGAGGUGAGACCUCAGCGCUCCGAGUAGUUUUCUACAGACCUGGGAGCUGCAGCUAUGAAAUACCUGGAGUCAGAAGGAGAUCUGCAUCAUUCAUAUCUCUUCAUUGAAUUCUCAGCUCAGUGCCAUCUCAACUCUGUUCGCGUUGGUCACCAUCUCAUCCAGACUCAGCAUAUAGAGCCCCAUCCUCAUUUUGGUAGUGAUCAUCCUGCAUUCAUCAGAUCCCAUGGGUCUUUAGCCAAUGCAAAGACUAAACUGCCCUAAUCUCCCUAAUCUUUAACCAGAUGUAAUGGUAAUGAUAAAUUUCAGGUCAACAGCCAGGAAAGAAAAUGGAAAAACGAGCAAGGAAAUGGACUGCCACCGAGAACUUUCAGAAAGGAACUUAGCUUUAUCAACACCUUGAUUUCAGCCUUGUGAGAUUCUAAGCUGAGUCGACUGGACUUCUGAUCUAUGGAAACUGUGAAAUAAAAAUUUGCGUUGUUGAAAGUGGCUACAUUUGUGGUAAUUUGUUAUGAUAGUAACAGAAAAUUAAUAUAGAUAGUUUCUAGUUUGGGACAAUUAUGAAAAAAACUGUUAUAAAACUUAAAUAUAGAUUUUUUUAAACACAAAUUUUCAUUUAUUUUGGGUAAAUAUCUCGGGGUGUCACAAUCAAUUCUUGUUAUUUGUGGUAGUUAUGUUCUAUAAAGUCACCUUGAACACUGAGUUAGCGAGUAAUGAGACAUUGUUCCUAGGAGAAAUGCAGGGUUAAGUUUCUGUGAGCCUCUAGCCGCAAUGUUUUUGUCAACUGAUCAAUACGUAACUUUGUUUUACAUGUGUUUUCUGUUUAAUGACACCGUAUUUAAUACACAUUGUUGCUUCAUUAACACUGAACUCAUGGCUAACAGCACUGUAACUUGUGGCUCAACAAAACUCAUCUAACACACAUUUUUUCCAUAAGGCACUUUACAGCCUUCUUGAGUUUAAAAACACUAGACAGCACUUCAGCACUACACACCUAGGGGCCAUUUUAAACAGCAAAGUCACCAACAAAAAGAACAAAAAUGCAAAAAAAAAAAAACCAUAGAAAACUAAAUAGACUGAGAAAAGGACACAUUUACAAUAUGAGAGUUAAAACAAGAAGCCAGAGCAUUGCCUUGUUCAAUCUCACCUGGGAAUGUGCAUGUUGAGUGACUCAAAUUUUUUACUGCUCUGUACACGCCAAGGAAUGACCACAAAAGCCUCAUAAGUAUCGAUUUGGGAGUUACAAAUGAAUUUCAGCAAGUGGGCAAAUUCACAAAUGUGGAAUCUGUGAAUAAGGAGAAUUGAUUGUAUUAUUGUACCAUACGGUGAGUGUAUGUUUAGCUUUAUAAGAAAAUGCCAAACUGUUUUCCAGAGUCACUGUACCAUUUUGCAUUCUCACCAGCAAUGAGUGAGAGUUCCAGCUGCCCACUCCCUCACAGUAAUUAGUAUUGUCAGCUUUUCUGAUUUUAGCUAUUCUGAUAGAUAUGUAGUGGAAUCUCAUUGUGGUUAUAAUUAACAUUUCCUUAAUGGCUAAUUACACUGAACAUCUUUUCGUCUACUUAUAUUUCAUCCUUAUAUCUUCUUUGGUGAAGAUAUUUCUGUUCAAAUAUUUUGCUCAUUUAUUAAAAAUUGUGUUGUUUGACUUCUUAUGGCUGUGUUUCAAGAGUUCUUUCUAUAGUAUUCUGGAUGUAAAUCCUUUGUCAGAUAUGUGAUUUGCAAAUGUUUCCUCCUAGGGUAUGGCUUGUCUCUUCAUUCUCUUAAGAAUAUCUUUGGCAUAGCAAAUAUUUUAAAUUUUGACAAAGUCUAAUUUAUUAAUUUUUUCUUUUAUGAGUCAUGCUUUU